rnacentral:piRNA from 1 species
UGCUUCGAUUUUUGUUUAAAA